AGGAGAAGAUGAAACGGACGGUGC
rnacentral:siRNA from 1 species